UAACUAAAAAUAAUAAAAAAUGAAAAUUUAUCUGAGAUUAGAAAAGGGUGUCGAGCACGUCUCGGCGACUCUCGAUAGAGCAACGCAUUUGAUGAAGUGCAGGGGACGGUUAAGACUCACAGAGCGAUGAUCGAAGCAUCCAUCUGGAGAACAAAGAUGUUUUAAGGGGUUCACUUAUUAGAUUUUGUGUAAAAGGAAUCGAGUUUGGAACUCGAAGCGUUGGAGCUAAAUCCAACUUUGCCUCCUUUAAGAUCAUUGAUGUUGAUGAAUCUAGGUUUAUGGAGGCGUUUCUGGUGCUUUGGUAGAGUGUGGUGGAGAGAGUUUGAAGAGGCUUAAAGCUAUUUGACUCAGGUUUCCAAUUACAGCUCAGGUUUGAUAUUCACUACAAUCUGACUAUAUGUGUUCUCUCGAUCUAUUAAAUUGUUAAAUCUCAAUUGUGUCAAGCGUUCAACAUGCAUUAGAGCUUUUUUUUCUGACAAGUACUACUAACAUUCUUAAUAAUUUAAGAGUGCUUGGGCUGAUGUGAAAUCUCUGAUUGAGAAGGAAGAGCAGGAGGUAUAAGGAGCCAUCUUGAGGUACUUAAUCAUCUUCAAUCAUCUAUUUCGCAAUCUUAUCAAUCUCUAUCAUGUCCUCCAACUAGAUUCUGGAUUUUGAGAGUUAGCUAUCUCUGCCUUUGAUUGGGUUUCAGAAAUCAUGUUCCUGAAUUUUAUUUGAUUAUUGGUUUUCGUGUCCAGAAUUCCUAAUUUUCGUUUUGAUCUUGUUUAGCAUUUGAAGCAUUCAACUCUUGUUUUGUAUUAAUUUGAGCCUAUUUUGCAACACCGAGCAUGUCUAUGUUAUGUUGUAGAAGAAUCUUAAUUUUGCUGCGUUAUAUGAAUUUGGCAACAGAGAGUUUUGAUGUGGUCAAAUAUUAUUUAGGAGGAUAGGAUAGGAUCACCAAUUUAAGCAUUUAUUAGGACCAAGUCUACUGCUUAAUUAUCUAUUGUGAUUUUACUUUUGUUUGUUCUUAACUACGACAAUUCUUUUGUAUGUGGGAAAUGAAAGGACUAGAUUAGGCUUAAAGCAGUUAAAGACGUAACUAACAGCUCUGCCGCAUUGGAUAACAAAAACUCUUUUAUAUGAAAAGCUUGCAAGGGGAGAGCUUUCAGAUGAACAAGCAGAAGAUAAGUACUAUAUGGAUUUCUCUAAUAUAAGUUAACACGUGAUUAUGGUCAGUUAAAUUACAUUGUUGUCUCUUUUUCUCCAUUAGUCAUAUGUUUGAUACAUAGCACAAAGAGGGAGAAAAUGAAGCAAGCUCAUCGUUAUAGAUUUUACUCUGCUCUUAUUAAGUGAAUUAACAUAUCUCUCUUGCUAAUCUUCUCUUUUGAAAUGAAAAAUCUUUGCUGAGAGGUUCAUGAAGAAGUGAAUCAAGCGACAGAAAAUGCAACAGAGUUGAAAUUUGAUGUUUACAUAGCUCAUGUUUUGCUUACUGUCUCUCCUUGUAUGAUCUAUCUAUGAAAAAUUAGGAUCAUUAACCACUUAUAAAAUUGAGGAAAGUUGUUUAUACUUUUAGGAAGGAUUUUCUGAAUAGCUUUUUCA
rnacentral:lncRNA from 1 species